GGGACCUCUUAAAAGGAGGUUUUUAGUGGCGAACGGGUGAGUAACACGUAAGUAACCUGCCUUUAAGACGAGGAUAACAACCGGAAGGUUACUAAGACUGGAUAGGAAACAAAAAGGCAUCUUUUUGUUUUUAAAAGACCUUCUUACGAAGGUAUGCUUAAAGAGGGGCUUGCGCCACAUUAGUUAGUUGGUAGAGUAAAAGCCUACCAAGACGAUGAUGUGUAGCUGGACUGAGAGGUUGAACAGCCACAUUGGGACUGAGACACGGCCCAAACUCCUACGGGAGGCAGCAGUAGGGAAUUUUCGGCAAUGGAGGAAACUCUGACCGAGCAACGCCGCGUGAACGAUGAAGUAUUUCGGUAUGUAAAGUUCUUUUAUUGAAGAAGAAAAAGUAGUGGAAAAACUAUAUUGACGUUAUUCAAUGAAUAAGCCCCGGCUAACUAUGUGCCAGCAGCCGCGGUAAGACAUAGGGGGCGAGCGUUAUCCGGAAUUAUUGGGCGUAAAGGGUGCGUAGGCUGUUAGAUAAGUCUAUAAUUUAAUUUCAGUGCUUAACGCUGUCUUGUUAUAGAAACUGUCUUGACUAGAGUGAGAUAGAGGCAAGCGGAAUUCCAUGUGUAGCGGUAAAAUGUGUAAAUAUAUGGAGGAACACCAGAAGCGUAGGCGGCUUGCUGGGUCUUUACUGACGCUGAGACGCGAAAAGCGUGGGGAGCGAACACGAUUAGAUACCCUGGUAGUUCCUAGCCGUAAACGAUGGGUGAUAAGUGUGGGGGGUGUUGAUUCCGUUCGUUCCGGAGGUUAACACAUAAGCCCCCCGCCUUGGGAAUUAGGCCGCCAGGUAUGAACUCAAAGGGAAUGGCCGGGGCCCGCCCCAACCGGUGGACCAUGUGGUUUAUUUGGAGGAAACCGGAAAACUUUUCCCAGGUCUUGCCAUCCUCGGAAAAUCGUUAGAAAUAUGCCGCCCUUUGGGGGUGGUACACAGGGUGCACAUUGGUGUUGUCAGCUUGUGUUGUGAGAUUUUGGGUUAAGUCCCGCAACGAGCGCCACCCCUGUCCCUAGUUGCCCACGGAUGAUGCCGGGGAUUUUAGGGAGACCCCCGGAGAAAAAUUGGGGGAAGGUGGGGAUGAUGUCCAGUCAUCAUGCCCCUUAUGAUCUGGGCUACAAACGUGAUACAAUGGCUGUGACAAAGAGUAGCUGAAACGCGAGUUUUUAGCCAAUCUCAAAAAAGCAGUCUCAGUUCGGAUUGAAGUCUGUAACUCGACUUCAUGAAGUUGGAAUCGCUAGUAAUCGCGGAUCAGCAACGCCGCGGUGAAUACGUUCCCGGGCCUUGUACACACCGCCCGUCACACCACGAAAGUUAGCAAUGCCCGAAAGCAGUAGCUUAACUUCGCAAGAAGAGGGAACUGUCUAAGGUAGGGUUGAUGAUUGGGGUUAAGUCGUAACAAGGUAUCCCUACCGGAAGGUGGGGAUGGAUCACCUCCU
rnacentral:rRNA from 1 species